AGGACGGCGGCCGCCGCCUUUGUUCCCUGUUCCGGCGCGGAGGAGCGAGCACCGGUGCAGCCGGGCUGUCGGUGAGGCACCGUCUCUCUUAGCAGACGUCGCCGCUUCCAGGCGAGGCGGGCGCGGGGCCGGCGAUGGACGGCGAGGAGCCGGGCGCCGCCCGCCGGGAAGCAGAGCUGGAGCGCAGCCGUUACAGGGACCGCCGGGCCGUGGCCCAGGAGCAGCUGGCGCAAAUAGAAGAGCACAAGCAUCAGGCAGCUCUGGCCAAGCUAGAAGAUAAGAGAGAAGGGGAAAAAAUACAGAGAUUGAACCAAUUGUACCAACUGGAAAUUCAGAGAGGAAAAGAAAAGGAACAGGAGGGAAAAGCUGAACUCCAGAGGCAGCAUCAUGAGUAUGUAGCUGAACAGAAAAUAAUUAAAGCUGAAGAGAAGGAAAAAGAAGAUGAAGACAAUGAUCGGAUUAAGGCUUAUAUUAAAGGAAAAGAAAUGAUGGCUGAUCUGACAAGAGAAAAAGUUGCAGAGACUAAUAGGCUAAUGCAGGAGCACAAGGACAAAGCUUUUGAACAACUAGCUGCACAGAUGAAUAAAGCAUUUAAGAUUGAAGAUGAUCGUCUUGCUAGAGGAGCUGCAGAGGUAGAAGAUGAAUAUCAAAUUAAAAACAAAGAGAAAGAAGCAAAAAAAAAGGCUGCCAUUGAAUCUAUCGCUGAACACAGAACCGCUGUGAUGAAGAUGAAAGUAGAAAAGGAGAGAGAAGAAAAAGCAGAGGAUGAGAAGGAUCGUAAUCAGUGGAUGACAGCAGAUCACAUCUACCUGGAAAUGGAAAAAGCCAAGAAACAAAAACAACGUGAUGCGAGCAUUGAAGUACAGAAAAUUCAGAUGCAACAAAUGGCUGAAAAGCAGGCAAAAAAACAGCAGGAAAAGCAAGCAGACUUGGACUAUGAUGCUCAGAGAGAAGCUGCUUUUCGUAAGGAUCGAGCAUUUCAGAGAUAAAGACAUGCUCCUUUUACUACUUCAAGCUUUUUUCAGCAAGCAGAAAGAAUGGAAGCUUUUAAUAAAGCCCUUUGAUCACAGAAGCCAGAGCCUUGCGAAGAAGAAUUGUCUAUAGCAGGAGUGGUGCUGAAAUCUGCAGAGCUUGAUAAUGCUCCAGAUGCAUCCCUAACUGCCUAUUUGCACAUGCUCACUACCAUGAAAUUGGUGAGUUAAAUAGGUUUUAGUCUACCUCCACAGCAACAAGAAGCAAGGUGGAUUGCAGCCUCACUUCCAACUCAGCUUCAGGAAAUGCACUGUUCUGCAGAUCAUGUAUGUCUGUAUCUGAAGUCUACAGCCUGUUUCCUUGGGGCUUAUACCCCUUUUACUUUGAAUGUCUACAAAAAUACCAAAUUCAAAUACCAGAAAACAAAUCUUCCUUUCAGUACACCUAGAGCAAAGUAGGAAUCCUGUGUAAUUUUAAAGCACACUUGCUAAAUAUGGAUUUAGUUUGGAAUAGUGAUGUCACUUCAUUCCAUUGACUGAGAUGUGCAUGCUUUGUGUGUUUGCUCUGUAAAACCAGGCAAAAACCUCAACCUCAAGUGUUUUAAGAACAUGAAGAAAUACUUAAGGUUCUAAAACUUUCAGUGACAAAGCAUUUUGGUAACAUUUCAUUAUCUUUUACAGUUGUCCUACACGAAAGGCAAGAAGGGAAAGCUGCUUGAAGGAAUAAUACAAAAGAAUAAUAUCAGUUUGUUUAUGAAAUACAUCUGACAACUACAGAAGUAUCCACUAAGGAAUAAGAAGCUAGCCACUGUCUCCUUACAAGUUACACGUGCCUGUGGAACACAGCUGACGCCAGCUCUGGAGCAAGCUACAAGCCAUGCUGUUUGCCAGAGCCUGCCUAUGCUCAGCUUCAGCUCAAGAAGCAAGUACCGUAGCUACAGCCAUAGCUUGCAGAUGGAUGUGUUACUAGUUUUAUUAUGGAACAAAGCAGUAGAUUCACCUUCUAGGAAGUCAAGAGGUAACAACCACACGGCAACUGUCAAUUAAUCUGUACUGUACUCCUCAAGUAUUGCUGGACCUCCAGGCUUAACUAAAAGCUUAAGUUUUGGCUUAAAAAAAUUUCUUACUGAGCAAAUAAUAAAAUUGAGCAAGCUGUUUAAAAACA